rnacentral:rRNA from 1 species
CUCUUUUUGAUAAUAAUUUAAAGUAGGGCCUGCCCACUGAAAUUUUAAAGGGCCGCAGUAUCUUAACUGUGCAAAGGUAGCAUAAUCAUUAGUUUUUUAAUUGAAAGCUGGAAUGAAUGGUUUGAUGAAAAAAUAUCUGUUUCAAUAUUAUUUUUUUAAAACUUUAUUUUUAAGUUAAAAAGCUUAAAUAUUUAUAAAAGACGAGAAGACCCUAUAGAGUUUAAUUAAUAAAUGAAUUUUAAGUUUAAGAAUUAAUUUUUUAAUAUUUAUUUAUUAAUUUGAUUGGGGUGAUUAAAAAAUUAGAAAAACUUUUUUUAAAUAGUUACAUUUAUUUAUGAUUAUUUGAUCCAAAUAAUUGAUUAUAAGAAUAAAUUACCUUAGGGAUAACAGCGUAAUUUUUUUU